AGGAUUUUAUGAAUUGCUCCAAGACAUACCAAGAUUCCCUUAUUAAUUCUUCUGGUUGAAAAUCUCCAGAACAUUUAAAGUUGCAGGGGAAAAUCCUUCUAUUAGACCCACUAAGAAGUCAGGAAAAUACCUUUGCUGAAACUUGCACUUUUCAUCACAUUUAGAACAGUUGGUCCCAUGAAGUACUAUCAGACACACAGUAACUGCUUGCUAAUAACUAAGUGAUGAACCUUGUCCUAUCUUUCUUCUACCAACUGUGACAGCGGCACUGGGAAAAUAAGAUGAUCAAGACAGUAGACUGUGGUGAGUCCUCAGAGAGGCCAGUCACCCACCUUUGAAAGUGAUGGGUUGCAAGAUGCCCAACUCUGUCUUCCUCCAGAUUGAGAUCUGCCUCAGAGACUUGUGAAAGCUUCCUUAGAAAGCCGCCCAAGUGGGAACUAUAAGCUCUUUUCUCUGAUCCUGCACAGAUGGUUGGUAAAACACAUAGAUUGAGAUCACAAGUCUCAAAAUAUCUUUCUUCUUGACAAGUGUUACCUUAUUUUAUUGGGACUAGAUGAUUACAUGUAAAUUUAUCCAUAUACCUAAAACCUGUGGGCCCAAAGUCCAAUAGAAAGAUGGGGAUGAGGAUUACUGGUAUUCCUUGAUUUUCCUAAAGACCAAAAAAUUUUAUUAUUGUUUUUCAUUUUUAAUUGAAAUUUUGUGAAUUUCAUACAGCGUAUUUUUAUCAUAUUUAGAUUCCCCCCAUCACUCUAGCCCCACUUUUUAACCCUGAAAUUUCAUCCACUAGAGUUAAACUACCAAGAGUUUCACUAUUAAAUGAGAAUGAUUGUCCCUGUCCCAGUAGCCAUCUGUUGCUAACAGUUCCUUACAUAAGGGUGGGGUUUCUUACCUACUUCCCCUGUCCAUGCUGGGAUUUUGUGUGACUUGAUAUUACAUGGGACUUGUGCAUGGUGUCACAUUGCUGUGAGUUCAUAGGAGUAAGUGCCCAGCUGGCAGGAAGACUUUGUUUCCUUGUGAGCAUCCACCUCCUCUGGCUCUUACAACCCCCCCCCCCAGUAACUUAUUCAACAAUCUUUGAGCUUUGGGAAGUAAAAAUUUGAUAUAUGUAACA